UUGCAGUGAUGACUAUCUUAGGACACCUUUGGAAAAAAUAAUGAAAAGAAAAAAAAACUGCUGAGCAAC